rnacentral:rRNA from 1 species
AACAGGAUUAGAUACCCUGGUAGUCCACGCCGUAAACGAUGAGAGCUAGUUAUUGGAGGUAUUGACUCCUCCAGUGACGCAGCUAACGCAUUAAGUUCUCCGCCUGGGAAGUACGGCCGCAAGGCUAAAACUCGAACAAAUUGACGGGGGCCCGCACAAGCGGUGGAUUAUGUGGUUUAAUUCGAAGCAACGCGCAGAACCUUACCUAGGCUUGAACUCCUACGAACCCGACGUAACGGUUGGGGUGCCCGCAAGGGAAUAUAGAGAGAGGUGCUGCAUGGCUGUCGUCAGCUCGUGUUGUGAAAUGUUGGGUUAAGUCUCGCAACGAGCGCAACCCCUAUCGUCUGUUGCCAGCAUUAAGUUGGGCACUCUGGCGAGACUGCCUGGGUUAACCAGGAGGAAGGUGGGGAUGACGUCAAGUCCUCAUGGCCCUUAUGUCUAGGGCUACACACGUAAUACAAUGGUACGUACAGAGGGAAGCGAACCAGCGAUGGGGAGCCAAUCUCAAAAAGCGUAUCUCAGUCCGGAUUGGAGUCUGCAACUCGACUCCAUGAAGUUGGAAUCGCUAGUAAUCGCGGAUCAGAACGCCGCGGUGAAUACGUUCCCGGGCCUUGUACACACCGCCCGUCACACCAUGGGAGUUGUUUUCAUUUUAAGACGUGACUCUAACCGCAAGGGGGAGAGCGUCUACAGUGGGGAGCGAUGACUGGGGUGAAGUCGUAACAAGGGUAACCA